rnacentral:lncRNA from 1 species
GCCCCACAACCUCGCUUCGUCUUCUUCCUUCCUUCUCUCCACAAUCGCGCCAUAAUCUUGCUCCACAACCUCGUCGUCUCACCGGAUGACCACACCAUCUCCGCCCUUCUCCUCCUCGGCCGCCGCCCCUCUCUUUUCCCACCACCAUCGCCGCCCCUCGUUACAUACUACCAGAUCUGUCCAUCUUGUUAAUCGUCUUCUCACUCACUGACGAGAUCCGCUUACCCACGAAUUUGGUAAGUUUUCCCAAAACGCCAAACGAUUUGUCUCAUUGCCUCUAUAUUUUGUCGGCAAAUAGAUAAGUUCACCGCGGUUCUCUUUCUCGUCGACGGUUGUUGAUUAUAAGGUAUGCGAAAAUACUUCGUCGCUUUAGGUUUUUUGAUUUUUCAUCCCAUGAUUUCAUAUUUUUUUUUAUAUAAAUUCUUCUGAUUUCAAACAUGUUUUGGUUUUGAAAUUGGAUAAUGUCUUAUUUCAAACAUGUUUUGGUUUUGAAAUUUGAUAAUUUUUAGUAAGAAAUACAAUACGAAUUAAUAAGGUGAAGCACUAAAUAUUAUCGAAAAUUCCAUAAUUUCCAAAAAUAUUUUCAAAUUUUGGAUAUUUUUUUUCUGAAAAUUUAGAAUUAUAAUUUAUUUAUUGUAUUUUUUAGCUACAAUUGGCUAUUGUUUGGAUGCUAUUUUGCUGCUGUUUUUUGCUGCUGUUUUUUCUGCUGUUUUUUGCUGCUGUUUUUGCUGCUGUUUUCUUUUGGCUUUGCUGCUGUUUGGCUCCUAAUUUGCAGCUGAUUUUGUUGCUGUUUUGCUGUUGUUUUCGUGUUGCUUUGCUGCUGUUUUAAGAUGUUGGUUUGCUGCUAUUUUUUUGCUAUCAUUUUUUCUUUAUAUCCAUAAAUAAAUUCUACAAAAUAGAAGUGACAACUAGUUGAAUUGUUGAAUGAGCUAUUAUAUAUAUGAGAUUUUCAAUAUACUUUUGAGGCUCCUUCAUGUUUUCGGUCACUAUUUGAAUAUUUGUUAUUAUACUGUUGUUGUAAUUUUUUAGUGGAUUAACUUAUUUCGUAGUGGAUUAUGUUAAUAUUUUAGUGGAUUUCGAUAAUUUUUGUAGUGGGUUUUGGCGAGAUUGUAGUGGAUUUUAAAUUCUUGCUUUGGAGACCGAAUUUUAGUGAAUGAAUUAAAUUGACACGUUGUUGUCUUAUUUUUCUUUGGUUUAGGUUCUUGCACAAGCGGGUGAUGGCAGCAAGUGAGACGAUGUUGGGUGAUGAUAAGUUUGUAGUGUUUAUCACCGGGUCACUCUAACCUAACGAAAACCACGAGCAACACUAUCAUAAAUUCGGAAGCUUGUAGUGAAUUUUGAUAAGUUUGUUGUUGAUGCAUAAGUGUUUUUCUACGAUAUUUUUUUAGUGGAUUAACCAUAUAUUACGUUAAUUUUGUAGUGGAUUACUUUAAUCUAUAAAGUGGAUUUUGAUAACUUUGUAGAGGAUUUUGAUAAUUUUGUAAUGGGUUACGUUAGUUCGUAGUGGAUUAUGUAAAUUUAUAUUCAAUUUCAUAAUGAUUUCUACGUUAAUCGAA